CAUGAAUUAUAAAAUUUUCUGUAUUUAGAACAAUCACCCCCAAAAAAUUCAGGGCAGCAAGCUACAGCUUCAAAUGAGUCUUGAUGAGCAAAGAUACUAGGUGGGGUUGUAACAAUGUGAUUUUGGAUCUCCCUAAUAUAAUUAAGGAGCCUUUCAUUAGUAAUUUGUAGAUCUUGCAUUCCUUGUGUUAGGAAUUCAACUCUUUGAGUCCGUGACAAUAUUUGAGUAUUAAAUUCUGCUGGUUCCAUUUUGUA